GCAAGUCGAACGGCAGCAGCACCUUCGGGUGGCUGGCGAGUGGCGCACGGGUGAGUAACGCGUACAUAACUUACCCUUGACUGGGGAAAAGUCACUGGAAACGGUGAAUAAUUCCGCAUAAGACCACAGUGUGGCAUCACACAGAGGUUAAAGCUACGGCGGUCAAGGAUGGAUGUGCGUUCCAUUAGUUAGUUGGUAAGGUAACGGCUUACCAAGGCAACGAUGGAUAGGGGGCGUGAGAGCGUGAUC
rnacentral:rRNA from 1 species